CCCGACAUAGCUCAGUUGGAAGAGCAUGAGACUGUAAAUCUCAGGGUCGCUGGUUCGAACCCGGCUGUUGGGA
rnacentral:tRNA from 1 species